UACAGAGGGUGCAAGCGUUAAUCGGAAUUACUGGGCGUAAAGGGCUCGUAGGCGGCCAACUAAGUCAGACGUGAAAUCCCUCAGCUUAACUGGGGAACUGCGUCUGAUACUGGAUGGCUUGAGUUUGGGAGAGGGAUGCGGAAUUCCAGGUGUAGCGGUGAAAUGCGUAGAUAUCUGGAGGAACACCGGUGGCGAAGGCGGCAUCCUGGACCAACACUGACACUGAGGAGCGAAAGCCAGGGGAGCAAACGGG
rnacentral:rRNA from 1 species